CUCUCGUUAGCUCAGUCGGUAGAGCACUUGACUUUUAAUCAAGGGGUCACAAGUUCGACUCUUGUACGAGAGACCA
rnacentral:tRNA from 1 species